CUGUUAGUAUUUCUGGGAAUGGAAGGCAAAAACAUCUGAGGACCCACAGGCCUACAGCUUGAGAACUUCUGUUCUACAGGACAGGAGAGAUUUUUCUGAGAAACAACUCCCUAGGGAACUGACAAAAACAGGUCAACUUACUGAAAAAGUAAUUGUGAAGCUUACAAGAGUUUGAAGGGAAGAAGAAGACUGAUUUAAGGAGAAGGCAGGACAAGGGGGAUGAUCCAACAGCCAGCCAGCCCUUCAUCAUACAAUGUCAGUCCUGGAUAUAUUUCUUCACCCGUGUUUGCUGUGAACAUUUUUGGCUUUGCACUGAAUCAUGUAUUCCGGAAUUUAGUUUGGUAAAUGAAGACAGUUCCUUUAUAACCCAAAGGGCACAAGCCAGAAGAACUCAAGCACAUCAUGCCGAGAGCCAUAGGUCUAUUGUGUGCAAGCUGGGACCAUAA
rnacentral:lncRNA from 11 species